UCCGGACUCCUACGGGAGGCAGCAGUGGGGAAUAUUGGACAAUGGGGGCAACCCUGAUCCAGCCAUGCCGCGUGUGUGAAGAAGGCCUUUUGGUUGUAAAGCACUUUAAGCAGGGAGGAGAGGCUAAUGGUUAAUACCCAUUAGAUUAGACGUUACCUGCAGAAUAAGCACCGGCUAACUCUGUGCCAGCAGCCGCGGUAAUACAGAGGGUGCGAGCGUUAAUCGGAAUUACUGGGCGUAAAGCGAGUGUAGGUGGCUCAUUAAGUCACAUGUGAAAUCCCCGGGCUU
rnacentral:rRNA from 1 species